AUUGAACGCUGGCGGCAGGCCUAACACAUGCAAGUCGCGCGCGCGGCGGACGGGUGAGUAAUGUCUGGUAACCUGCCUGCUGGAGGUGGAUACCUACUCGAAACGGUAGCUCCUACCGCAUCCCCUCCGCUUUGCCCAGAUGUGGUUAGCUAGUAGGUGGGGUAACGGCUCACCUAGGCGGCGCUCGCUCGCUGGUCUGAUAGGAUGACCAGCUAGACUGGAACGGAGAAACGGCACAGACACCGACGGGAGGCAGCAGUGGGGAAUAUUGCACAAUGGGCGCAAGCCUGAUGCAGCCAUGCGGCGUGUGUGAAGAAGGCCGGCGGAUUGGAAAGCACUUUCAGCGGGGAGGCGUUACCCGCAGAAGAAGCACCGGCUAACUCCGUGCCAGCAGCCGCGGUAAUAC
rnacentral:rRNA from 1 species